UUACGGGAGGCAGCAGUGAGGAAUAUUGGACAAUGGGCGCAAGCCUGAUCCAGCCAUGCCGCGUGCAGGAUGACGGUCCUAUGGAUUGUAAACUGCUUUUGUACAGGAAGAAACACUCCCUCGUGAGGGAGCUUGACGGUACUGUAAGAAUAAGGAUCGGCUAACUCCGUGCCAGCAGCCGCGGUAAUA
rnacentral:rRNA from 1 species